rnacentral:rRNA from 1 species
GGCUGCAACUCGCCUACAUGAAGUUGGAAUCGCUAGUAGUCGCGAAUCAGAAUGUCGCGGUGAAUACGUUCCCGGGUCUUGUACACACCGCCCGUCACACCACGAGAGUUUACAACACCCGAAGUCAGUGGCCUAACCGCAAGGAGGGAGCUGACUAAGGUGGGGUANAUGAUUGGGGUGAAGUCGUAACAAGGUAAC